UACGUAGGAUGCAAGCGUUGUCCGGAAUUAUUGGGCGUAAAGAGCUCGUAGGCGGCCUGUUACGUCUGCUGUGAAAUCCCGGGGCUUAACCCCGGGCGUGCAGUCGAUACGGGCAGACUAGAGUGCUGUAGGGGAGACUGGAAUUCCUGGUGUAGCGGUGGAAUGCGCAGAUAUCAGGAGGAACACCGGUGGCGAAGGCGGGUCUCUGGGCAGUAACUGACGCUGAGGAGCGAAAGCGUGGGGAGCGAACAGG
rnacentral:rRNA from 1 species